rnacentral:rRNA from 1 species
GACGAACGCUGGCGGCGUGCUUAACACAUGCAAGUCGAACGGAAAGGCCCCUUUGGGGGUACUCGAGUGGCGAACGGUUGAGUAACACGUGAGUAACCUGCCCUUGACUUCGGGAUAACUUCAGGAAACUGGGGCUAAUACCGGAUAGGAAUCCUUGCUGCAUGGUGGGGGUUGGAAAGCUUCGGCGGUUUUGGAUGGACUCGCGGCUUAUCAGCUUGUUGGUGGGGUAGUGGCUUACCAAGGCUUUGACGGGUAGCCGGCCUGAGAGGGCGACCGGCCACAUUGGGACUGAGAUACGGCCCAGACUCCUACGGGAGGAAGCAGUGGGGAAUAUUGCACAAUGGGCGGAAGCCUGAUGCAGCAACGCCGCGUGCGGGAUGACGGCCUUCGGGUUGUAAACCGCUUUCAGCAGGGGCGAAGCUUGUGGUGACGGUACCUGCAGAAGAAGCACCGGCUAACUACGUG